rnacentral:rRNA from 1 species
GGCCUGAGAGGGUGACCGGCCACACUGGGACUGAGACACGGCCCAGACUCCUACGGGAGGCAGCAGUGGGGAAUAUUGCACAAUGGGCGAAAGCCUGAUGCAGCAACGCCGCGUGAGGGAUGACGGCCUUCGGGUUGUAAACCUCUUUUAGCAAGGAAGAAGCGAAAGUGACGGUACUUGCAGAAAAAGCGCCGGCUAACUACGUGCCAGCAGCCGCGGUAAUACGUAGGGCGCAAGCGUUAUCCGGAAUUAUUGGGCGUAAAGAGCUCGUAGGCGGUUUGUCGCGUCUGCUGUGAAAACUGGAGGCUCAACCUCCAGCCUGCAGUGGGUACGGGCAGACUAGAGUGCGGUAGGGGAGAUUGGAAUUCCUGGUGUAGCGGUGGAAUGCGCAGAUAUCAGGAGGAACACCGAUGGCGAAGGCAGAUCUCUGGGCCGUAACUGACGCUGAGGAGCGAAAGGGUGGGGAGCAAACAGGCUUAGAUACCCUGGUAGUCCACCCCGUAAACGUUGGGAACUAGUUGUGGGGACCAUUCCACGGUUUCCGUGACGCAGCUAACGCAUUAAGUUC